UACGUAGGGGGCAAGCGUUGUCCGGAAUCAUUGGGCGUAAAGAGCGUGUAGGCGGCCAGGUAGGUCCGCUGUGAAAACUCGAGGCUUAACCUCGAGAUGUCGGUGGAAACCAUCUGGCUAGAGUCCGGAAGAGGAGAGUGGAAUUCCUGGUGUAGCGGUGAAAUGCGCAGAUAUCAGGAAGAACACCCGUGGCGAAGGCGGCUCUCUGGGACGGUACUGACGCUGAGACGCGAAAGCGUGGGGAGCGAACAGG
rnacentral:rRNA from 1 species